rnacentral:sRNA from 1 species
CACACGCGGGUGUGCGGUCCUGGUCGGGGAGACAUCCCGUCCGGUCCGUUCCGGUCCUCUUCGGAGGGUUUGCCCGCGGCGGUCCAACCGGAAGAAAGAGACGA